UCCUUCGGGAGCAAGUAAAGUGGCGGACGGGUGCGUAACGCGUAGACAACCUGCCCUUGAGCGGGGGAUAACCACGGGAAACUGUGGCUAAUACCGCAUAACGUCCGGAUCCCGCAUGGGAACCGGAUCAAAGUCUUCGGACGCUCAGGGAUGGGUCUGCGUCGGAUUAGCUCGUUGGUGAGGUAACGGCUCACCAAGGCAACAAUCCGUAGCUGGUCUGAGAGGAUGAUCAGCCACACUGGCACUGAGACACGGGCCAGACUCCUACGGGAGGCAGCAGUGGGGAAUCUUAGGCAAUGGGGGAAACCCUGACCUAGCCAUGCCGCGUGGAGGAAGACACCCCUACGGGGCGUAAACUCCUUUUCUGCCGGAAGAAAACCCUGUUUUGCAGGGCGUGACGGUACGGCAGGAAUAAGCACCGGCUAACUCCGUGCCAGCAGCCGCGGUAAUACGGAGGGUGCAAGCGUUGUCCGGAAUCACUGGGCGUAAAGGGUGUGUAGGUGGGGCAGCAAGUCAGAGGUGAAAGCCCACGGCUUAACCGUGGAAGUGCCUUUGAAACUGCUGUUCUUGAGUCCUGGAGAGGUUGCCGGAAUUCGUGGUGUAGCGGUGAAAUGCGUAGAUAUCACGAGGAACACCAGAGGCGUAAGCGGGCAACUGGACAGGUACUGACACUGAGGCACGAGAGCGUGGGGAGCAAACAGGAUUAGAUACCCUGGUAGUCCACGCCGUAAAACGAUGAAUGCUCGCCGUUGUCCCAUUCNGGGGCAGUGGCUAAGCUAACGCGUUAAGCAUUCCGCCUGGGGAGUACGACCGCAAGGUGAACUCAAAGGAAUUGACGGGGGCCCGCACAAGCGGUGGAGCAUGUGGCUAAUUCGAUGCAACGCGAGA
rnacentral:rRNA from 1 species